GAUGAACGCUGGCGGCGUGCCUAAUACAUGCAAGUCGAACGCUUCACUUCGGUGAAGAGUGGCGAACGGGUGAGUAAUACUUAAGUAACCUGGCAUCUACAGGGGGAUAACUGAUGGAAACGUCAGCUAAGACCGCAUAGGUGUAGAGAUCGCAUGAACUCUAUAUGAAAAGUGCUACGGGACUGGUAGAUGAUGGACUUAUGGCGCAUUAGCUGGUUGGUAGGGUAACGGCCUACCAAGGCGACGAUGCGUAGCCGAACUGAGAGGGUGACCGGCCACACUGGGACUGAGACACGGCCCAGACUCCUACGGGAGGCAGCAGUAGGGAAUUUUCGGCAAUGGGGGAAACCCUGACCGAGCAACGCCGCGUGAAGGAAGAAGUAAUUCGUUAUGUAAACUUCUGUCAUAGAGGAAGAACGGUGGAUAUAGGGAAUGAUAUCCAAGUGACGGUACUCUAUAAGAAAGCCACGGCUAACUACGUGCCAGCAGCCGCAGUAAAAC
rnacentral:rRNA from 1 species